AUGUAGCGAGCUGAGUGGGGAGGAGAGAGGGACAGAGAGCCUGCUUGCUUUAAAGGAGCCAACCGGACAGGAGCCGCUUACACUCGUGUAAGCAGCUCCUCUCCUCUCCCGCUUUGCUCCUUUAAAGAAGCAGGCUCUCUGUCCCUCUCUCCUCCCCACUCAGCGGCUCUUCUC
rnacentral:miRNA from 1 species